rnacentral:tRNA from 1 species
AUUAAAUAGCUAUGUGGAUAAGGUGAUGGCCUUUAAAGUGAACGGUACUGGGUUCGAGUCCCAGAGUGAACA